CAGGGAUUGCCUUAGUAACGGCGAGUGAAGCGGCAAUAGCUCAAAUUUGAAAUCUGGCGCUUGCGUCCGAGUUGUAAUUUGUAGAGGAUGAUUUUGGUUAGGUACCUUUCGAGUUCCUUGGAACAGGACGCCUUAGAGGGUGAGAGCCCCGUACGAUUGGAUGCCGAGCCUCUGUAAAUCUCCUUCGACGAGUCGAGUAGUUUGGGAAUGCUGCUCUAAAUGGGAGGUAAAUUUCUUCUAAAGCUAAAUACCGGCCAGAGACCGAUAGCGCACAAGUAGAGUGAUCGAAAGAUGAAAAGCACUUUGAAAAGAGGGUUAAAUAGCACGUGAAAUUGUUGAAAGGGAAGGAUUUAUGACCAGACUUUUUCUAGGAGGAUCAUCCGGUGUUCUCACCGGUGCACUUCUUCUAGUUUAGGCCAGCAUCGACUUUCGGCGGCGGAUAAAAGCUUCAGGAAUGUGGCUCCCUACGGGGAGUGUUAUAGCCUGUUGUAUAAUACGCUGCUGGGGGUCGAGGUACGCGCUUCUGCAAGGAUGCUGGCGUAAUGGUUAUCAAUCACCCGUCUUGAAACACGGACCAAGGAGUCGAACAUUUAUGCGAGUGUUUGGGUGUUAAACCCUCACGCGUAAUGAAAGUGAACGGAGGUGAGAGCCCUUACGGGUGCAUCAUCGACCGAUCCUGAAGUUUUCGGAUGGAUUUGAGUAAGAGCAUAACUGUUCGGACCCGAAAGAUGGUGAACUAUGCGUGGAUAGGGUGAAGCCAGAGGAAACUCUGGUGGAGGCUCGCAGCGGUUCUGACGUGCAAAUCGAUCGUCAAAUCUGCGCAUGGGG
rnacentral:rRNA from 2 species